CGUGCGGGUGCUUACACAUGCAGUCGAACGGGAUCCAUCAGGCUUUGCUUGGUGGUGAGAGUGGCGAACGGGUGAGUAAUGCGUGACCGACCUGCCCCAUACACCGGAAUAGCUCCUGGAAACGGGUGGUAAUGCCGGAUGCUCCGACUCCUCGCAUGGGGUGUCGGGAAAGAUUUCAUCGGUAUGGGAUGGGGUCGCGUCCUAUCAGGUAGUCGGCGGGGUAACGGCCCACCGAGCCUACGACGGGUAGCCGGCCUGAGAGGGCGACCGGCCACAUUGGGACUGAGAUACGGCCCAGACUCCUACGGGAGGCAGCAGUGGGGAAUAUUGCACAAUGGGCGCAAGCCUGAUGCAGCGACGCCGCGUGCGGGAUGACGGCCUUCGGGUUGUAAACCGCUUUUGAUCGGGAGCAAGCCUUCGGGUGAGUGUACCUUUCGAAUAAGCACCGGCUAACUACGUGCCAGCAGCCGCGGUAAUACGUAGGGUGCAAGCGUUAUCCGGAAUUAUUGGGCGUAAAGGGCUCGUAGGCGGUUCGUCGCGUCCGGUGUGAAAGUCCAUCGCUUAACGGUGGAUCUGCGCCGGGUACGGGCGGGCUGGAGUGCGGUAGGGGAGACUGGAAUUCCCGGUGUAACGGUGGAAUGUGUAGAUAUCGGGAAGAACACCAAUGGCGAAGGCAGGUCUCUGGGCCGUUACUGACGCUGAGGAGCGAAAGCGUGGGGAGCGAACAGGAUUAGAUACCCUGGUAGUCCACGCCGUAAACGGUGGAUGCUGGAUGUGGGGCCCGUUCCACGGGUUCCGUGUCGGAGCUAACGCGUUAAGCAUCCCGCCUGGGGAGUACGGCCGCAAGGCUAAAACUCAAAGAAAUUGACGGGGGCCCGCACAAGCGGCGGAGCAUGCGGAUUAAUUCGAUGCAACGCGAAGAACCUUACCUGGGCUUGACAUGUUCCCGACAGCCGUAGAGAUAUGGCCUCCCUUCGGGGCGGGUUCACAGGUGGUGCAUGGUCGUCGUCAGCUCGUGUCGUGAGAUGUUGGGUUAAGUCCCGCAACGAGCGCAACCCUCGCCCUGUGUUGCCAGCACGUCAUGGUGGGAACUCACGGGGGACCGCCGGGGUCAACUCGGAGGAAGGUGGGGAUGACGUCAGAUCAUCAUGCCCCUUACGUCCAGGGCUUCACGCAUGCUACAAUGGCCGGUACAACGGGAUGCGACACGGCGACGUGGAGCGGAUCCCUGAAAACCGGUCUCAGUUCGGAUUGGAGUCUGCAACCCGACUCCAUGAAGGCGGAGUCGCUAGUAAUCGCGGAUCAGCAACGCCGCGGUGAAUGCGUUCCCGGGCCUUGUACACACCGCCCGUCAAGUCAUGAAAGUGGGUAGCACCCGAAGCCGGUGGCCUAACCCUUUGUGGAUGGG
rnacentral:rRNA from 1 species